rnacentral:lncRNA from 1 species
GUCCGUUGCGCUGAGAGAAGAGUAAAGGGCGGGGCUGUGCGCGGCCGGCAGUCUAUCUGCAUAUUCAUGAGGGGGCGAGGACCUCGUCGGCUUGGGGCCGUUCCUCCCUGAACCUCUAGUUUAGCAGAAGACUGCUUAUUAAUAUUUAAUGUUAUUCUUUAUGUAUCCGGCCUUCAGCCCGCCCUCCAGUCUUGGCUGUUUCUAGCACUGAGACCGGAGAGGCUGCGAACUGAAUUUAUUUGGAAAGUCUGAGCUAUAUGGAGCUUUAUAAAGACCACAACAUCUUGUCGUGAUUGAAAUGAGGCCUACCAUGACCAAAAGUCUUGAGUCUUCCUCAUGUAUUCCUGGAGGCCAGAAGAAGGCACCAGAUGAUUUAACUUCAUCAUCAUCUCCCAUCGUCCUGCCGUUUUCUGGCCAAAAAUGGUUCCUUUCCAACCUGUUCCUGGCUCUUCAUUCCCUGGUCCCACUCCAUGGUUUAUUUCUCAUCAUAUCUUACCUGACAGCAGUGACUUCCGCAAACUGGCCUCCCACCAUACAGCCCUACUUCCUCCAGCCUUGUUCCAUGGCUCUUAAAAUUCAUUCCUAAACAUACCCUCCCGUUUAAACCAAGGAGAG